rnacentral:rRNA from 1 species
GACGAACGCUGGCGGCGUGCCUAACACAUGCAAGUCGAACGAGGUCCAAGGAAGCUUGCUUCCUGAAGACCUAGUGGCGAACGGGUGAGUAACACGUGAGAAACCUGCCUCGGAGUGGGGAAUAACUCGGGGAAACUCGAGCUAAUACCGCAUACCUUCACAUGAUCGCAUGGUCGAGUGAAGAAAGAAUUUCGCUCUGAGAGGGUCUCGCGGCCUAUCAGCUUGUUGGUGGGUAACGGCCUACCAAGGCAACGACGGGUAGCUGGUUUGAGAGAACGAUCAGCCACACUGGGACUGAGACACGGCCCAGACUCCUACGGGAGGCAGCAGUGGGGAAUCUUGCGCAAUGGGCGAAAGCCUGACGCAGCAACGCCGCGUGCGGGAUGACGGCCUC